AUUGAACGCUGGCGGCAUGCCUUACACAUGCAAGUCGAACGGUAACAGGUCUUCGGAUGCUGACGAGUGGCGAACGGGUGAGUAAUACAUCGGAACGUGCCCGAUCGUGGGGGAUAACGAAGCGAAAGCUUUGCUAAUACCGCAUAAGAUCUGCGGAUGAAAGCAGGGGACCGCAAGGCCUUGCGCGAACGGAGCGGCCGAUGGCAGAUUAGGUAGUUGGUGGGAUAAAAGCUUACCAAGCCGACGAUCUGUAGCUGGUCUGAGAGGACGACCAGCCACACUGGGACUGAGACACGGCCCAGACUCCUACGGGAGGCAGCAGUGGGGAAUUUUGGACAAUGGGCGAAAGCCUGAUCCAGCCAUGCCGCGUGCAGGAUGAAGGCCUUCGGGUUGUAAACUGCUUUUGUACGGAACGAAAAGACUCUGGUUAAUACCUGGGGUCCAUGACGGUACCGUAAGAAUAAGCACCGGCUAACUACGUG
rnacentral:rRNA from 1 species